UCCGUAGGGGGCAAGCGUUGUCCGGAUUUAUUGGGCGUAAAGAGCGUGUAGGCGGUUUGGUAGGUCCGCUGUGAAAACUCGAGGCUCAACCUCGAGACGCCGGUGGAAACCAUCAGGCUAGAGUCCGGAAGAGGAGAGUGGAAUUCCUGGUGUAGCGGUGAAAUGCGUAGAUAUUCGCAAGAACACCAGUGGCGAAGGCGGCUCACUGGCCCAUUACUGACGCUGAGGCACGAAAGCGUGGGGAGCAAACAGG
rnacentral:rRNA from 1 species